rnacentral:rRNA from 1 species
UACGUAGGGGGCAAGCGUUGUCCGGAAUCAUUGGGCGUAAAGAGCGCGUAGGCGGCCCUGUAAGUCCGCUGUGAAAGUCAAGGGCUCAACCCUUGAAUGCCGGUGGAUACUGCAGGGCUAGAGUCCGGAAGAGGCGAGUGGAAUUCCUGGUGUAGCGGUGGAAUGCGCAGAUAUCAGGAGGAACACCUAUAGCGAAGGCAGCUCGCUGGGACGACACUGACGCUGGAGACGCGAAAGCGUGGGGGAGC